rnacentral:rRNA from 1 species
AAUGAACGCUGGCGGCGCGCCUAAUACAUGCAAGUCGAGCGAGAAGACGUAGCAAUACGUUUGUAAAGCGGCGAACGGGUGAGGAAUACAUGGGUAACCUACCCUCGAGUGGGGAAUAACUAGCCGAAAGGUUAGCUAAUACCGCGUACGCUCCUUGGACUUCGGUUCAGGGAGGAAAGCGAUACCGUGGGUAUCGCGCUCUUGGUUGGGCUCAUGUCCUAUCAGCUUGUUGGUGAGGAACGGCUCACCAAGGCUUCGACGGGUAGCUGGUCUGAGAGGACGAUCAGCCACACUGGCACUGCGACACGGGCCAGACUCCUACGGGAGGCAGCAGUAAGGAAUAUUGCGCAAUGGGCGAAAGCCUGACGCAGCGACGCCGCGUGGGGGAGUGAAGGUC